GGGGUGGAGGGGGUGCCGGCUGCUCGUGGAUAGGCUGGGCAUCGGUCAGCGGGUGGACUAGAAAAUGAAGAAAAACACAGUACAGUUUCCCAGUAAUGCAUGUUGACAGUUCCACUAAAUUAUGUGUGUACCUGGAUGCAGUGGAACAUGUCUGUGGCCGGAUAGACACAGCACAUAUAGAUUGGGAAGAAGGAACCCUCCAAAAUACACUUGUCUCUGUGAGCACUCAUUCUACGGUCUAGUGCCUGGGUAAAGAUCUGAACUGGAACUCACUGUGGCUCAGCAAACAUUGAGCUUUAAGUAUGAUGAAGAAUAUUACAGUUGCUGUCCCUGCUCUCUCUUGAUGCUUGUCGAAGGUCAGAGGGGAACACAUAGCUUUGUCUCAGGAUUAUACAAUAAGUGCUCAGACUGAAACAUUUAUGUAAUGGUAUACUGUAAAGAAACAGAGGCCUGGUAAAAGAUCCUUCUUAGUGGUGUUGAGAAGUGGGAACAGGAUGGCAGCAGAGACUAUAAGGCUACAGAC